UAAAGAUCAUUGCUCACGUAAUGAACUUAAUGCUUUAGAGUAGAGGGUUUCAGCGCCUGGGCUUCCCCUCGCUGGAUUGAGCUCUCCGGGCAGUGCGCGGAGGAGCGACCUUCGGGCGCGGCCCGCCAAAAUUGGGACCAUAAAAUGCAUCUCAUCUCUUUACCAAGACCCCCAGGAUACCCGUUUUUAAGGCAAAGACUCUAGAAAGCUCAGAUGUUGGCGCACAGGCAAGAAGCAGUGGUGAAUUUCCUGGAAAUGUCCAGGCGGAAACGCAAGCCAAAAACGUGCCUUGUGGUCUCAGAGCAGGGGAUGUGAGAAACUCAGCACUUUCAAACUAAACCUCGAUUCAGAGUCGAAGCAAAAGAGGGGCCACUGGGAGAGGGAUAGACUGGCUUUUUGAUGUUUCUUUGUAUUUAACAUUACGUACAAGCAUUAUACAACUAAUCAACUUGUUUCCUCGACAGGACUCUAUAAAUUACCUGAUGGGGGGGUAGAGAAGAGGUGGGGUGGGGAAAGGUGAUGGGUGGGGGGCAGACGGCUGUGGGCGGAGGGAAGGCUGGGGCCAGAAGCGGAUGAAUUGCCGACCAGUUGCCAAACUUUUUUUUUUUUUUUUUUUUCCCUUGCUGCUGCUGCGGCUGCGGCUGCCUUUGCUGCUGCCUUUGCUUUGAAUGUGGGUAACUAGGAAACAGCAAGCCGUCUGAGAAGACGGAAUUUCCAACGUGUAAAAUGUUCUUAACGGAACCAUUGAGCGAGUGCAAUAAGGCGUGAGGGGGAACUAAUCUUCCCAUUUAAAUGUUUGUGGCAAUUUUAUCUAAAUGAAUUUUAAUGCUAAACGAGGGUAAUUCCCCAUUUGUAGCGCGUUUACUUCUCUUUCCUGUGCUUCUAAAGCAGUCGAACAUCAUGCAAUGAACAAUAACAAUAAAAAUACUGUCAAGGCAUAUUAUUCA
rnacentral:lncRNA from 1 species